AUUUUACACAAACAAUAUAUUUGAUGAUAAACAGAAAGAACGUUGAAAACUCUAAUAAACUGCGUAUAACGAAAUAACUACAUCUUCCCAGAUCUUCCGUAGGAGUUCUAGAACCAAGUUUUCCGAAAUAAUUAUAGUCUCAGAACAUUUAGUGAUAUAAAAAAAAGUAAUGGUAGAUAUUAAAGCGGGCGUUUAUCUGAUUCGAUUUCGAUCCGAGUCCGUGAAAAUUAAAUAUCGGAUCCGAGGUGGUCGUUCAUAUUAACUCUAAGUACAGCUGAUAAGCCGAUAUCAAAGUAAUUUUCUGCUACUGACCAUCCACGGAUUCGGAUAGUACGAAAACGCCCUGCCUUGUUGUAAAGUUAAUACAACACGUUACACUUCUACCGUUACAUUUUAUUUAUCCUAUGGAUCUACUGAAGACUAGGCAGCAUGUCUUAUGACUUUAGUCUAACUAAACCUUAAAAGAAAUCUUAUAUGUUAAAAUUACAGCUGUGCUCGAAGUUUUUAGCGUUGCUGAUCACGUGUUAAAUGAAGUGGAAACAGUUGUACGCCAGUCCGGAAAUAAUACACAUGAGCAAUUGUUAGUUCUUCAUUCUGCCUUUGGUGCGGUUUUACAAAGAGCUCU